rnacentral:rRNA from 1 species
AGAGUUUGAUCAUGGCUCAGAACGAACGCUGGCGGCAGGCCUAACACAUGCAAGUCGAACGCGCGUAGCAAUACGCGAGUGGCGCACGGGUGAGUAAUACGUGGGAAUCAACCCUGAGGUUCGGAAUAACCGCGGGAAACUGCGGCUAAUACCGGAUGUCCCCUACGGGGGAAAGAUUUAUCGCCUUGGGACGAGCCCACGUCCGAUUAGCUAGUUGGUGAGGUAAUGGCUCACCAAGGCUACGAUCGGUAGCUGGUCUGAGAGGACGACCAGCCACACUGGAACUGAGACACGGUCCAGACUCCUACGGGAGGCAGCAGUGGGGAAUAUUGGGCAAUGGAGGCAACUCUGACCCAGCCAUGCCGCGUGGGUGACGAAGGUCUUCGGAUUGUAAAGCCCUUUCGGCGGGGACGAUGAUGACGGUACCCGCAGAAGAAGCCCCGGCUAACUUCGUGCCAGCAGCCGCGGUAAUACGAAGGGGGCUAGCGUUGUUCGGAAUUACUGGGCGUAAAGGGCGUGUAGGCGGCCCGUUAAGACAGGUGUGAAAUUCCUGGGCUCAACCCAGGACGUGCGCCUGUGACUGGCGGGCUUGAGUCCGGGAGAGGAUGGUGGAACUCCCAGUGUAGAGGUGAAAUUCGUAGAUAUUGGGAAGAACACCCGUGGCGAAGGCGGCCAUCUGGACCGGUACUGACGCUAAGGCGCGACAGCGUGGGGAGCAAACAGGAUUAGAUACCCUAGUAGUCC